AUUUGUAAUCUGGAUUACCUCAAACAAAAUGAUGAUGCAUUUGCAAUGAUGUAUAAUUAUUUUUGACAAUGUUUUUAUGUAUAUCAUUGAAAAUGGAAAUGAAGAAUGUGUCAAAGAGACAACAACCCGACCAAAGACCAAAAAAACAGGCCACCAAUGGAUCUUCAACACAGGGGUGAAAUCCCGUAGUAUGUAAAAAUAAAUUACUCAUCAUUCCUCAGAGUAUCAUGUGUCAUUGAAUUGAUAUUAAUAAUACCUUGUUUAUUCUGAUAAAAUGUACAUUUUUGUCAGUUGAUUUUAUUUAAGGUUUUUGACAUCUUUUUCUGCCCACACAAUUGAUAUUUUAGGAAAAUCAAUAUUUAGGACAUUAAGCAGGCAGUAUUCAUAAUGAAAUGAACUUUAAAAUCUG
rnacentral:lncRNA from 1 species